rnacentral:rRNA from 1 species
UACGUAGGGUGCGAGCGUUGUCCGGAAUUAUUGGGCGUAAAGAGCUCGUAGGCGGCUUGUCGCGUCGGAUGUGAAAGCCCGGGGCUUAACUCCGGGUCUGCAUUCGAUACGGGCAGGCUAGAGUUCGGUAGGGGAGAUCGGAAUUCCUGGUGUAGCGGUGAAAUGCGCAGAUAUCAGGAGGAACACCGGUGGCGAAGGCGGAUCUCUGGGCCGACACUGACGCUGAGGAGCGAAAGCGUGGGGAGCGAACAGG